rnacentral:sRNA from 2 species
AUUGUGGCUAUUAAGAUGGUUCGGAGUUGAAAAGAAGCUCUUCAGCAUUCUACUUCCCUCAUUCGGAACCUUAAAGGGGGUUACUCUUCUUGACUGUUGGGAAACGUGAACUGGAGUGCACAGAAGGGGUUGGAAGAUCCUUCUUCAGAGGAUUCUCCUUAUAACAGACUUCUACAUGGUGUGAUUCCUGACACCGCAUAUUGCUCUUUGCUUGAAACAUGUUUCACAAUUGUCCGUUUUCAGUUGCCAGAAGACCCAAGAAACCAUGUGCACCACACCUCUGCUACUCAGAGUGUAAAGUUUGAUAGAUGUCUACAAUGACAAAGAUCUUACCCCCAACCGCGUGUGGUAACAACUAAAAUCAGGAGGGCCAUUGACCAGCAGUGAACGGUGACAUACGGUGAUUGUAGCUUGACAUCCUUGCCUAUUUGAAAACCCCGUUGUCAAACUGGUGACGCUGACGCGCACUUAUUCAGCUCAAUGGCUUCUUCGUUUCAAAGUC